rnacentral:tRNA from 1 species
GGAGAGAUGGCCGAGCGGUUGAAGGCGCACGCUUGGAAAGCGUGUAUAGGGGAAACUCUAUCGAGGGUUCGAAUCCCUCUCUCUCCGCCA